CUUGUCCAUCUGCUCCAGGGAAUGUCCUCAACAUUCUCCCGAUCAACCAAAGGGCUCAUGAAUGUCUCCAUCGAGAAAAAAACGAGAAUGCAUUCUGAAAGCCCUUAUUGUCUACCUGAAUAAAGACCGUCAAACCUUGUGAAGGAGUAUAUGGUAAGUCAUUUAAAUUUUUUUAAAACGUAUUUUAUGUUUCUGUGCAACCAUCCCCUCCCUCUCACCCUUGAUCUGUUGGUAAUUCUCUUUUUAUACUCAAUAUUUUUAGGAUGUUAAACAUGAUGUCGUUGCAACCUCGAUGCAGAACCCCACCCUGGGAAUCUAUGACAUCGUACAUGAAGGAGCAGAUGCUACAGACCCAUAUGAAGAUGUUGGCAUCAUCAAUAAAGGCAUCCAAAUAUUUGAAAACCUAAA